GCCAACAUGAUGUAGUGGUUUGAGCUUUAGACUACAGCUCUGGAGAUCAGGGUUCAAAUCCUUGCUUGGCC